UUUGGUUUAGGAUUUGGUUAAGGUUUGAUUUAGGAUUAAGAUUUGGUUAAGAUUUAGUUUAGGAUUUAGAGUUUGGUUUAAGAUUUAAGAUUUGAUUAGGAUUUGAUUUAAGAUUAGGAUUUGAUUAAGAGUUGAUAUAGAGUUUAGGAUUUAGUCAGGAUUUGAUUUAGGGUUUAGGGUUUUAUUUGAAUUUGUUUAGAAUUUAAGAUUUAGUUAGUUUUUGGCCUAAAGUUUGAAUGAAGUCCAAUAGGAUUUCAACUAGGAUUAAAUUAAGAUUGAAUUGAGAUGUAUUUGAGAUAUAUUUGUAAUCAUUCUAGUAUUUUUUAAGAUUUCUUAUUGUUUCUUUGUAAUUCCUUUGAGGUUUCUUUAAAUUUGAUUAAAGCUUGUUUAGCAUUAUUAGUGUUUUAUUAGAAUUAGAGUUUUUGUUGUAGAAAUUUCUAUUCUACCUUCCACAGCCAGGUGCCCAGAGCAUUCUUAAGCAAGACUUCACGUAUUAUGACAGUGUGAUUCUAAGAAUAACACAAACAAUGAAUUAAUUCUAUAUUUUUUGUUGUAUGAGUUAUUUUUAUUGAUAAGUAA
rnacentral:lncRNA from 1 species